UCCCUGGUGGCUCAGAGGUUAAAGCGCCUGCCCGCAAUGCGGGAGACCUGGGUUCGAUCCCUGGGUUGGGAA
rnacentral:tRNA from 1 species